AAAUAAAAUGAGCUGCCGUUUCAAACCUCAAUUCAUCUCUUCCAGUUUACCCUCACCAACGCCGUCCCUGUCAUUCCUUUCUCCUUCCCCCUCUUUCAUUCUUCUUCCUUUCACCCUCUUUAAUUUCACUUCUCUCUCUCAUAUUUUCUCUCACCCGUUUUCAAUCUGAUUUGAACGCAUCCAAUGAGGAUUUCUAACAGCAGAUUCAAUUCUCUCGGAAGCGUUCCUUCGUCAUCGAUGGCCACCUCCUCAGCAGCUUCAAAUUUGUUCCUGAUUCUAGCGACCAGUGCUUUGAAGGAGGUUUGAUCUUUCCAAAGUGAAAUAUGACGUGUCUGAUGGAAGGUGGAUCAAGCUUCAGAACCCAAGUAGCAAGAAGGUUUAAUCAUUCAUUCCCUCUUUGGUUUUGGCUUGCAGUUGUAGGGCUUGAGACUGCAUGGUGUCACUAUGACAUCUGAAGCAGUUGAAACUGCUUCCAUUUUCGGGAUUGUUUCAGAUUUCUGGUGGUGGUGCUCGCUUCAAUGCAGGGGCAAGAAAAGAGAAGAAUCGACAUAUCACAGUUGCAGUUUAGCUGUUAUGAAAGAAGCUUCUUCUUACAUCAAUUCUUAAUGAUGCAUUCUUGGUUCCUAUUCUAAUGAGCCCUAUGGGAACUGAUGAUUUUGCACUUUUCAAGUCUUUCCAUUGGCUAAGAGACCUUGAAUUCAAGCCUACUUUGAGGUUGCUAGAGUCACAACUCACAAACAAAUUGUUCAGUGUAUUCUCACAUAAUCUCAACAACGUUCUUUUUGGUUUUGUUUAUAUAUGGUUUUAGAAUGGGUAAACGCGACCAAGAGCCUGAAUGAUGUGAUUGAUGAAUUUAUCCAUCCAUUUGCAUAGACCAAUAAGUCUGGUCAAGUUGUUAGAACCAUGUUCACUGAUUAGCUGGAUUAUGUUGUGUUUAUGUAAUUCUUGCUCUGGUAGUAGCAUUAGAGAAAUAUACAUGUUUUCAUAGUAUCGUUGCAGUAAUUAUUCUCUUUCAAGAGUAUCAUUCUAUCUAUCAGUAUAUAGAAUCAAUGUUUUGCUUUAACCAUCAUCAUGUUCUAUGAUACAUUGGACUCUCAUAUUGACCAUGCAUGCAGGAAGAUGGUUGUAUGUCAUCAAGAAGAAGAAGCAGCAUGAAAAGAAGGUAGAUAAUUUAAACUAGGAGCCGUGUUGAUUGGUCCCAUAAUUUGAAAUCAUCAAGCUGCUAGAGGGUAGAUAAUAAUCUAAGAUUUUUGUUCAAUUCAAAAAUGAGUGUUGGGGGUAGCUAAAUUAGUGUAGCACUUUAAGUUCUAAUGUAUUGCUGAUCUAUCUAAGUGAAUAGGUGAUAAUUUGUGAUUUUGUUUCCUUCUCUGUUAAUGUGAAAUCUGCCGAUGGGUUUGAAAUUCUUCUUGGUUGUUUGUAUAAAUUUUUCCUAUCUUUUUAGUGCCAAGACUUAAGGCUGGAACCUCAUUCAUUUUUCUA